GGGGGCGAUUUGGGUUCGACUGGGCGGGCGCGGUUGAAGCAGCGUGCCGGGGUUGAUCGGUUGGCCCCGUUAAAAAGCCGAUUACACUAAGAACUGCCGAGCAUGACUAUGCUCUCGCUGCCUAAACCUUAGGCGGCGCCCGCGGCCGGGACGCCGAUACCGUAACCGCGGGCCGACAUCGGCUGGAAAUUCCGUAAGCAUGCCUAAGCUGCCGGGGUUUCGAGAUUAAAUUUUGGCUGGCCAAACGGGGUUUGUCGGUGAACCCCGGGCGGCGAGAACCAAUCACCGACUGCGCACGGAGCGGCUUCCUCCAAAUACGUCGCAGGACGCGGGUUCGAUUCCCGCCGCCUCCACCA
rnacentral:tmRNA from 1 species